GGGAAAGGUGAAAAGCACCCCGACAAGGGGAGUGAAAUAGUACCUGAAACCGUUUGCUUACAAGCAGUGGGAGCUGGACAAUUUUUUGAGAGUCUAGUGACUGCAUGCCUUUUGCAUAAUGAGUCAGCGAGUUACUUUGUGUAGCGAGGUUAAGCCAUAGGGUGUAGCCGGAGCGAAAGCGAGUCUUAAUAGGGCGUAUUAGUUGCACGAAGUAGACCCGAAACCAAGUGAGCUAUUCAUGGCCAGGGUGAAGCGUAAGUAAAAUUGCGUGGAGGCCCGAACCGUUGUAGGUUGAAAACUGCUCGGAUGAGCUGUGAAUAGGGGUGAAAGGCCAAACAAACUUGGAAAUAGCUGGUUCUCCUCGAAAUAUAUUUAGGUAUAGCCUUGCAAAAUUAGUAACGGGGGUAGAGCACUGAAUGGGCUAGGGGUCCUACCAGAUUACCAAACCUAAUCAAACUCCGAAUACCGUUAACUAUAAUUGCAGGAGUCAGACUACGGGAGCUAAGUUUCGUGGUCGAGAGGGAAACAACCCAGACCGUCAGCUAAGGUCCCCAAAUAUGUGCUAAGUGGGAAAGGAAGUGGAAAUGCUCAGACAGCCAGGAGGUUGGCUUAGAAGCAGUCAUCCUUUAAAGAAAGCGUAACAGCUCACUGGUCGAGUGGGUUUGCACCGAAAAUGUAACGGGGCUAAAGCACAUUACCGAAGCUGCGGGUAUCAAAAAAUAUUUAUUUUUUGGUACGGUAGAGGAGCAUUCUGUUAAGGCUGAAGGUUAUUCGUAAGGAUAGCUGGACAUAACAGAAGAGACCAUGCUGACAUGAGUAACGAUAAAGCGGGUAAGAAACCCGCUCGCCGUAAACCUAAGGUUUCCUUGAGUAAAGCUAAUCUGCUCAGGGUUAGUCGAUCCCUAAGCCGAGGCCGAAAGGCGUAGGCGAUGGAAAACAGGUUAAUAUUCCUGUACCACCAUCUUAUCAUUAUAAAGCGAUGGGGUGACACAGGAGGGUAGGUCAUCCGUCUGUUGGAAUAGACGG
rnacentral:rRNA from 1 species